GCCUCUCCUCAUGAUCAUCAUCCUCCACCUUCAUCCAUGAACAACAUGAUGCUGCAUCUCAUCCCACAGGCUGUAAUAUUAUGUUACAGCGUGAUAACCAGCGCUCAGGACGAAUCCAACCUGACUGAGAGGCCUUAUGUGGUCCUGCAGAAGCAGAACCUAGUGACAUUGGGGAGUGUCCUCGCUGUUCUGCUGCUGCUGAUGAUCGUCAUGGCUGUCUGUGUGUACAGACCUCUGACUCGUCGCUGAAACUGGACACAAACAUUAACUGUGACGCGUAUCUUCUGGUACAAGCUGCAUUGCGAGUAGAGCCCAGCAGAUGGCAGUACAACCAGGCAGCUGUCAGCAGCGAUACCUCCUGACUUGGAAGCCUAAAUUAAAAUAUGCUGCGACUGAGCGGUUAAAAAAUUACUCAUUGAUUUGCAGAUUGCAGUAAAAGUGGACAAUGUAUGCACCUAACAUCUGUAUCCGCAAGUUUUAGCAAUGGUCAGCGUGAAGCCGUCAUCACUCCCCAUCAAAAAGGGGCUCACAUUCAAGGAAAUUGCUGCCUCAAGUAUUUAGCUUGAAAGAACAUUUUUGUUCAUUUUCAAAAAGUUCAAGCUGACAAAUUGAACUACAGCAAAAGAAUACAUAAGGGUAUCACAGAUUAUCAGGCAAUGGUUUCCUCCUUAAAGGUACACCAGUGAAGAGCUUGCUCAAAAUUGGCAGCAGAUGGGCGUGAGCAUGUUUGCAUGCACUGUGAGACAAAGACUUUGGAUAACGGCCUUGUAACAAGUAUGGCUGCAAAGAAGCUGCUUUGGUGCAAGGAAAACAUCAAGCCAGACUGGGUUUCUACAGGAGGUACAAGGAGUGAACUGCACAGGACUGGAACAAAACGAUUUUCUCUCAUGGAUCCAUCUUGUCUACAAAAUCUGGAAAAUCUGAAAAAUCUGAAAAAGUGACAUAAUAUGGACUUUUGUAAUUGUUUUGCUCAUAAAAGGCACUGAAAUGUAAGACAUUAGAUUUGAUUCAUAUGCGAUUAUAGGACUAAUAAAAAUAAAGGUCAUGUUAACUAUAACCAGA